rnacentral:lncRNA from 1 species
UCCACUUAAAUUGACACCUAAUCUCUUAUUUAACACUAAUUAAUUCUAAAAUUAAAUAAAAGAACAUGUGUCAAAGUUUAAUUGGGGGGAUUUGGGUAUGGUUCGGUCAAAGAAAUAGCUGUUCUGUAAACCAGAACAGCAGCUCCGUAACCAGUUUUGUUGGGGAUUUGGGUAUGGUUCGGUCAAAGAAAGCGAAAUGAGGCUGGUUAUUGCUAGGGAGAUCGAGGAUUAUAUAUAUAUAGAGCUUUUGAAUGCGUGCACAUUUAUGUGGCUCUUCAGUCCGGUUAAAAUUGUCAAUGUUUCAUGAGAUAUUUACUGUCGCGGGUUCUUCGUUCGUAGGUUUAUUUUGUUGAACUAUUGAUCUGGUCUGUGCUAUCCCAAAUUUGGAUAUACUACUAAAAAAUAAUUACCCCUACUGAUAUUUUAAAAAUUAGUUAAUCUUCCAAGAGGCGCAUUUGCAAAAAGCUUAAAGACCCUAAAUUGUAGGGGGAAUUUACAAAAAACUCCCCUCCGAAAAUAGGCGUACGCCACUGUUUG